CCUACGGGGUGCAGCAGUGAGGAAUAUUGGUCAAUGGUCGGGAGACUGAACCAGCCAAGCCGCGUGAGGGAUGAAGGUACAGAGUAUCGUAAACCUCUUUUGUCAGGGAACAAAUGCGGGGACGCGUCCCCGGAUGAGUGUACCUGAAGAAAAAGCAUCGGCAAACUCCGUUCCGGCAGCCGCGGUAAUACGGGGGAGGCGGGCGUUAUCCGGAUUUAUUGGGUUUAAAGGGUGGGCAGGCGGUCUGUUAAGUCAGCGGUCAAAGCCCGGGGCUCAACCUCGGCCCGCCGUUGAAACUGGCAGUCUCGAGUUGGAGAGAAGUAUGCGGAAUGCGCGGUGUAGCGGUGAAAUGCAUAGAUAUCGCGCAGAACUCCGAUUGCGAAGGCAGCAUGCCGGCUCCACACUGACGCUGAGGCACGAAAGCGUGGGUAUCGAACAGGAUUAGAUACCCGAGUAGUC
rnacentral:rRNA from 1 species